rnacentral:rRNA from 1 species
UACUCGAGUGGCGAACGGGUGAGUAACACGUGGGUGAUCUGCCCUGCACUUCGGGAUAAGCCUGGGAAACUGGGUCUAAUACCGGAUAGUAACCGUCUUUAGUGUGGUGGUUGGAAAGUUUUUUCGGUGCAAGAUGAGCUCGCGGCCUAUCAGCUUGUUGGUGGGGUAAUGGCCUACCAAGGCGUCGACGGGUAGCCGGCCUGAGAGGGUGUACGGCCACAUUGGGACUGAGAUACGGCCCAG